UCCCGGACCGGGGCACGAACCCGUGUCCCCUGCAUCGGCAGGCGGACUCUCAACCACUGCGCCACCAGGGACGGGACGUUAUGAGAAAUGCGAUGGGAAACCGCGACCAAGGUCAUCCAAACCUUGCCUGGUUCCAGCCCCCGACACUGACUUCUUCCAGCGGCAGGUGAACCCCAACAGACCUUCAGCUGCUUUUCAGAAGCUGCGAGAAAGAAAUCAAGGUUGAGGAACGAUGAGAAGACGGGGGUGCUGAACCUUGAACCGUGGCUUAAACGCACUCCACCUGCCGUCCCUGAUGGAGGUUGUGAAGACUGGCGUGGCAGCCUAAUCAUUAGUAAGUGUUUGUCGGAGUUGUUCUCCAGGAAUUGGAGUCAGCUGUGUCGAGUUAGGGCUGAGCCAGUUGAGGUGGGGUAGGACCACCGGCCCCUCAGCUGGGCCUGCGCCUGCAUUGGAGACCUUGUGAACGUGCAGAGGCCUGGAGCCUAGUUACGCCUGUGCAGAAGGACGAGUACACACCUUUUUCCGAUUGUGGCUGCCCACUUCGCCGUCCCAUUAGCACCCCAGCGCCUUGCCUUCUGGGAGGCAGAUCUGGGAUUUGUUCUCCAGCUUCCUUGCUUGGCUGCCUUGCGGUUGAGCACUUUUUGCUGCAGACCUCGGCAGCUCAGCGUCUUGGCUGCUCUGCACCGGGCAGAGCGAACCUGGUUCAGCAACUGUGACUAAUGGUGACAUGUCACCUAGGAGGGUGCUCGAAUGCACCAUCUCCAGAAAGCCCCCGAUGGGAAACCUGGUCCAGGUGAGCUCAGCACCCUCAGACGCUGGGCCUUCCCAGCUGGUUUGAAGACACAAGUAACUCGUUACCAGAAAUAGCUAGUCUUUCAGUUGUUUAGGUCUCAGAACUCGGAGGCAACUCCUUCCUCCCAGGCCCGCAGUCCUCCCCUCCCUCCUGGCUAGCGCACUUCCUGAGUGGGGGACGAAAGCUGGAGAAGCCCAGGGCACUGGAUCCGGGGGGUGGAGACCGCUGCCGCCAGGAUGGACAUCAGCUGGUCCCGUGGACCGGUCCAGCAUCUCAGCUCCCAGGGAGGCGAGCCUGACCCGGAGCGAGGAGGUGACUGCCUGAGGUAAACAUCUGGCUUUCGGCACAGAGGACUAGUAAACGGCUUUCCUAACGCCUAACCCUUCACGGCAGGUGAAGCUGGAGGGGGGAGGCUGACGCACCGCAGGCAGAGCUGUGGGCUGGAGGGAGGCCGUCCCAGGGGACAGAGGUCACCUGCUGAGGGAACCUCAUCUGCGCUCAGCCCGCCUGGGGACCUGAGGCUUCUACGCAUCCCCUCACCCUCGACACAGACUGGGCCCUGUCUGUCUGUCUGUCCCUGGGAGCACAGAUACAACUCUGCGGUUGUGAGGGCCAGGCUCAGCUUGCAGGUGGAGGAACGAGCCGGAGGGAGGGCCAGCUACCCGUGGCCGCAAGGCCAGUCGUCACAGCUGAGACCCAGGCCUGGGGUGCUGGGCUGUGUCCCCACGCGCCGUCCUGUGUUGCGGGCUGAGCGGGUGUGCCCUUGGUGCAGCGGACAGAAUGCUAUUCUCAGCCCGGGGCUUCAACGCAGUAAGACCAUGUUUGUGGAUUUCAUCAGCAGCUGUGACACAGGAUUUCCAUUCCCUGAUUGUACAGGUUUUUUAAAUUAGUUAAUUUUUGGCCACAUUGGGUCUU